rfam:Macaca mulatta chromosome 8, whole genome shotgun sequence.
UUUCCCUCAGGACAGCUAGUGCUCUCCUAAAACCCAGCCCACACAGUUUUAUCCAGUAAAGUGAAUAUUAGAGGUCCUGGGGCCAAAAUGAUCUCAACCUCUUCUCAAACUUUAAAUGGGUAAGAUUAUUAUUGUUAUUAUUUUUUUUUAAUUUAAUUUAAUUUAAUUUUU